rnacentral:tRNA from 1 species
CAUUAGGUGACUGAAAUGGUAAGUGUAGGUCUUUUAACCCUAUAAUGGCGCCCCCAACCGCCCCCGAUGA